AGAGUUUGAUCCUGGCUCAGGAUGAACGCUAGCGGGAGGCCUAACACAUGCAAGCUGAGCGGUAUUUGUCUUUCGGGACAGAGAGAGCGGCGUACGGGUGCGUAACACGUGUGCAACCUGCCUUUAUCAGGAGGAUAGCCUUUCGAAAGGAAGAUUAAUACUCCAUAAUAUAUUAAUUGGCAUCAAUUGAUAUUGAAAACUCCGGUGGAUAAAGAUGGGCACGCGCAAGACUAGAUAGUUGGUGAGGUAACGGCUCACCAAGUCGAUGAUCUUUAGGGGGCCUGAGAGGGUGAUCCCCCACACUGGUACUGAGACACGGACCAGACUCCUACGGGAGGCAGCAGUGAGGAAUAUUGGACAAUGGGUUAGCGCCUGAUCCAGCCAUCCCGCGUGAAGGAUUGAGGACCUAUGGUUUGUAAACUUCUUUUGUACAGGGAUAAACCUACCCUCGUGAGGGUAGCUGAAGGUACUGUACGAAUAAGCACCGGCUAACUCCGUG
rnacentral:rRNA from 1 species